rnacentral:sRNA from 14 species
GUCACGAACUCGCCGCUAAUUCCUUCGGACUAUAGCGGGAGAUUGAUUGCUCUGUCGUGACCAGACUAAGUUCUUAGAGAACUACGUUAUUCAGCUCAUGACACCUACAAAUACGUGCCAGUUUGUAGCAACUGUC